UUUUUAAAAUCCAAAUUAUCAGAAUAAAUUUUUUUCACAAAAUAAAAUAUUAUAAAUUGAAGAAGGGAUUAUUAGUACCUUAAAAGUUUUAAUUAAUAAUGACUUGGGAAAUCUAUUUAAACAAAUGAAAAUAGUAAUUAACAUCUUAGUUAAAUAAGAUCCAAAACAAUUUUAGUACAAUUCACCAACCAAAUGUUUGUCUCCUGCAUAGUCACACUCAUUUGCUAACUUGAGUCAAGCAAGCAUUAACUUUACAGGUUCAGUAGUAUUAGCCUUUGAAGUACAAAUCUCUGUUAUUAAAUUUCUCAAACUCUUAACAAAUUAAUUGAAGUAUAGCCUUUAAUACUUGGUUUACAUGCUUCCAAGCACCCUCUGCACCAAUAUGCGCACUUAAAUAGACAACUAACUAAUUACUUAUUAGAAUUUAAAUCUUGAAGACUUUCAUUAAAUUUAGCAUAAGGUAAAAAUAGAUAUAUGAUAUCUCAAAUAGUAAAAUGAAGUGACAUACUUUUCAAGCAGUUAAGCUUUCAUUGGUUAAAAUGAUACUUCAUAGCAUAGUGCAAACAAACAUUUAAUCUCACACAUGGAACCUAGUCCCCCCGUAGCAUUUAAUCUUCAGUGUGAAUGUGUAAUUGUGUGUAAGAUAUCAUCUAUGCAAUGACAUACUAUAGUUUCAUUUUAAGUUAAAAUAACCACCCAGACAAACUAAUAAACCCUACGACUCUUACUUGUGAAUAAUUCAAGUAUGUGUGAUACCAAAAAAAAAUCUAACAGGAAAAUUCAAGAAAUCAAACAAAUAUCUUCAACUCAUUACCAGGUCUUUGUGUCAAAUAUGAUACAACUACUUGUUAAUUGCUCCUCGCUCAUCACAACCUUGUUUUACUGCACACAUAAGUUGUUUUACUAGUUUCUUAUUUUUGAAGUUCUUAAGAUUUUUUACCCUAAACCCUAAACCUGUACAUCAUCAUCUAACCAACAAAAAACCAAUUCAAACAUCCCUACAGCGGCAAAAACACAUUGCUCCCUGCACACAACUUCAUUUCUAAACUAGUGGAUCAUAAGUGCAUGAUUACUUGGAAUUUAUAGACACCAGAGCUAGACACCUUCAGCACCUAAGGACCCUACAAAAACUAAAAUUUUGCUGCAUAAUUAUGCAGAAAACAGGUUCUGUAGCACCAAAAACAGAGGAUAUAAAUAGAGCAGCAUAUUGGCAAAAAACUAGUAGCAGCAUAUUGGCAAAACGAUUAUGCAUCUACAACACUUUUAUUGAAUUUUUUUCACUUGCACUUGCCAUUUCAUAUUUCAUACUGGGUGAAACAAUCCGUAUAAAUCAUCCAUAGUAGUAAUUAAACAAGUAUAUCAAUAAACACGAGUUUUAGGAGGGAAUGAUUCCACCUGUUCAACAUGUUCAUGUGUACUGGCCUGUAAUCUAACCAGAUCUUAUCAUUCUCCCAAUAUCUGCAAAUCAAUGCACAAAAACUCAACUAACAAAAGCAAAGCAACUUGUAGACACAACACAAGUAUUUUUAUCAUCAAA
rnacentral:lncRNA from 1 species